GACGAGGGGUCCAAGCGUUGUUCGGAAUCAUUGGGCGUAAAGCGGGUGUAGGUGGCUCUGUAAGUCAGGAGUGAAAGCCCCAAGCUUAACUUGGGAAGUGCUUUUGAUACUGCAGAGCUUGAGUGUGGGAGAGGAUCGUGGAAUUCCUGGUGUAGUGGUGAAAUACGUAGAUAUCAGGAGGAACACCGGUGGCGAAGGCG
rnacentral:rRNA from 1 species